GUGGAGCAUGGCGGAGCUCUUCGAUCCACUGGUUCAUCUCUUGGAACUUUUGAUCCAGGAGAUCCUCUCAAUUGUGAGUCUCGAGGAUCUUCUGGCAGAAUGGGGGUAGGGACCCUUCGGGGGUGGAAUCAUGAUCAGACAGAGGGCUCUCCACCCUCUGCUUUCCCUUUCUGGAGAAUACAGGGCGACUGGCCCAAGUGGGCCGUUCGAUCGUCAGAUUCUGGAACUCCAGCGAUGCUCUUUCCAGCUGCACAGAUGCCUGCGGCUGCUGCUGUUGCUGCUGCAUGGCCUGCAUCGCUUCGGUG
rnacentral:lncRNA from 1 species